rnacentral:rRNA from 1 species
CGCAUCUGUGCAUGCAGCAUAUCAAUAAGCGGAGGAAAGAGGCUGCGGAGCUGAACGACCGCUACCUACGCUUAGGAUGUUGACGAGACUGUCGAUCUCAUCUAUACAUGACUCUGUGCAUAUCAAUAAGCGGAGGAAAAGAAACUAACAAGGAUUCCCCUAGUAACGGCGAGUGAAGCGGGAAGAGCUCAAAUUUGAAAUCUUAAAGGGUUUCCCUUUACAAAUUGUAGUUUAAAGAAGUGUUUUCUGCUGAAGUUUUGGUAAAAGUUCUUUGGAAUAGGACAUCAUAGAGGGUGAGAAUCCCGUAUUUGACCAUUAUUUUCAGCUUUGUGAUACACUUUCAAAGAGUCGGAUUGUUUGGGAACGCAGUCCAAAAUGGGUGGUAAAUUUCAUCUAAAGCUAAAUAUUGGCGAGAGACCGAUAGCGAACAAGUACCGUGAGGGAAAGAUGAAAAGAACUUUGAAAAGAGAGUUAAACAGUACGUGAAAUUGUCAAAAGGGAAGCGUUUGACACCAGUGUUGUUUUCUCGAAAAUCAAUUAAAAAUGGCUCGAUUUUGUAUUGCUUGAGACCUUAAAAGCUCACUGUACAUUUUUCGUGUCUUUUUUAAUGCACUUUUCGUUUAACAAGUCAACAUCAGUUUCUUUUGUUGUAAAAGGGUCAUUGGAAGGUGGCUUUCUUUUCGGAGAAAGUGUUUAUAGCCUUUGGCCUCUGCAAUCGGAGAGACUGAGGUCUGCAGCGUAGACUCUUCGGGGUUAGAUACAUUUGUGCUAAGUUAUAGCUUUUUAUAGACAACUUGUUGACUAUAAUUAGUCUUGUAGCUUACUCGCUUAUGCUAUUUUACCUACGCUUAGGAUGUUGAUAGUCACAGCGUGUAC